GAAACCAUGGAGGAGUGGGAUCAAGAGAUGUUGGAGAAGGUUGUGGAGUCAAAGAAGAAUGAGUGUAAUAAUCAAAACAAGCCCACUGAAAUUUCUUAUGUUAAGGGAAAGAGCCAAGAGACAAAUGAAAUAGGCAUAUCUUAGUGCUAAAUCAAAGGUUCGAGAUGGCCAGGUUAUAGAGGAGACAAAUGGAUUUGGGUUGGUUUUGGCAAUGAUGAUCAAUAGUGAAAAGAUGGUGUUAGCUAAUAUGGGAGACUACAGAGCAAUCAUUUGAAGAGAGGGUUUGUCUCAUGAAAUAGGCAGUAGGCACAAGUAAUCAUCAAAAGGAGUUGGCCUAAUAGAUUCUCUAAAGGUACCUAAUGUGAGGAUUAUAUUAAGCUAAUGAAACCACUUGGAGGGUUUGUUCAAGUUUUUGUGUUACUUUGUCCCAAACCAUGUACACACCUUAGGCAUGUUUGUUAAUAAAAUUUUAUUAAGAUUUCCAUCUUAUGGGAGGGGUA